rnacentral:rRNA from 1 species
CAUAUCAAUAAGCGGAGGAAAAGAAACCAACAGGGAUUGCCCUAAGUAACGGCGAGUGAAGCGGCAACAGCUCAAAUUUGAAAAUCUGGCUCUCGGGCCCGAGUUUGUAAUUUGUAGAGGAUGUUUCUGGCGACGUGUCUUCCGAGUUCCCUGGAACGGGACGCCAUAGAGGGUGAGAGCCCCGUCCGGUCGUACGCCCUAGCCCUCUGUGAAACUCCUUCGACGAGUCGAGUAGUUUGGGAAAUGCUGCUCAAAAUGGGAGGUAUACGUCUUCUAAAGCUAAAUACCGGCCAGAGACCGAUAGCGCACAAGUAGAGUGAUCGAAAGAUGAAAAGCACUUUGAAAAAGAGGGUUAAAUAGUACGUGAAAUUGCUGAAAGGGAAGCGCUCAUGACCAGACUUGGGCUCGGUGAAUCAUCCGGCGUUCUCGCCGGUGCACUUUGCCGGCCCAGGCCAGCAUCAGCUCGCCUCGGGGGAUAAAGGCUUCGGGAAUGUAGCUCCCUCGUGGAGUGUUAUAGACCGUUGCGUAAUACCCUGGGGCGGGCUGAGGUACGCGUUCUGCAAGGAUGCCUGGCGUAAUGGUCAUCAGUGACCCGUCUUGAAACACGGACCAAGGAGUCGUCUUCGUAUGCGAGUGUUCGGGUGUCAAACCCCUACGCGUAAUGAAAGUGAACGUAGGAGAGAGCUUCGGCGCAUCUCCGACCGAUCCUGAUGUUCUCGGAUGGAUUUGAGUAAGAGCAUACGGGGCCGGACCCGAAAGAAGGUGAACUAUGCCUGUAUAGGGUGAAGCCAGAGGAAACUCUGGUGGAAGGCUCGCAGCGGUUUCUGACGUGCAAAUCGAUCGUCAAAUAUGGGCAUGGGGGCGAAAGACUAAUCGAACCUUUCUAGUAGCUGGGUUUCCGC